rnacentral:rRNA from 1 species
AUGCAAGUCGAACGUGAUCCAUCCUUCGGGGUGGUGAAAGUGGCGCACGGGUGAGUAACGCGUAGAUAAUCUGCCUGAUGAUCUGGGAUAACACUUCGAAAGGGGUGCUAAUACCGGAUAAGCCCACGAUGUCUUUGGACAUUGCGGGAAAAGGGGGGGACUUUCGGGCCUUCUGUCAUCAGAUGAGUCUGCGUACCAUUAGCUAGUUGGUGGGGUAAGAGCCUACCAAGGCGACGAUGGUUAGCUGGUCUGAGAGGAUGAUCAGCCACACUGGAACUGAGACACGGUCCAGACUCCUACGGGAGGCAGCAGUGGGGAAUUUUGCGCAAUGAGCGAAAGCCUGACGCAGCAACGCCGCGUGAGUGAUGAAGGCUUUCGGGUCGUAAAGCUCUGUCAAGGGGAAAGAAGUGUAUUGUGGUUAAUACCCGCGAUACUUGACGGUACCCCUAAAGGAAGCACCGGCUAACUCCGUGCCAGCAGCCGCGGUAAUACGGAGGGUGCGAGCGUUGUUCGGAAUUAUUGGGCGUAAAGCGCGUGUAGGCGGUUUGUUAAGUCUGAUGUGAAAGCCCCGGGCUCAACCUGGGAAGUGCAUUGGAUACUGGCAGACUUGAAUACGGGAGAGGGCAGUGGAAUUCCUGGUGUAGGAGUGAAAUCCGUAGAUAUCAGGAGGAACACCGGUGGCGAAGGCGGCUGCCUGGACCGAUAUUGACGCUGAGACGCGAAAGCGUGG